UCAAGAACACUUUCCAAGCAAUCAUUAUCUCCCUUUCUUUUUCUUUCUCGCCGACCACCCCACCACCACCUUCCACCGUCGCCUGCCGUCACGUCCGACCACCACCAUCCGUCCACCUUAUUCUCUCCAUCCCCGACCAGUAAAUCCAACCCCCACCCUGUUCGACGCCGCAAAACCACUUUUCCAGCCAUCUUUUUUAAUAGAGGCAGAAAAAUCCAGUGACUUUUUCCGGUGAAUCAAAGCUAUUUUCCGGUGAAAUUCCUCCCGUUUUCCGAAAAGAAAAUUCCAGUGAGUUCCCGUCUUUGUUCCGGCCGUAUCUCAACUUAUUCGAUGGUGAAUCUCUGCCUGCUCAUUCUUACCCAAAACCAAUAAACUCAAAGCACGUUUCAAUGGUGAGUUUCACUACCGCAUUUAUACAAAUUUACUGUUUUCAGGGGACAAUACAUUUUAAACGAUAUAUAGUUUUUGUAAUCUCAGUUUGAUAAUUAUCGUUUAUUAUAAACUGAAAUCGUUAUAUAUUCGUUAUUAUAACCGUCACUAAAAUUGUCACGUUUAUAUAACAACGAUAAAUGAUAUUAUUGGAAUCAUUCAUUUAUAUAACGAUAAAUGGUAUUAUUGGAAUCAUUGUUUUAAAGCUUGGAUAUUAGUUUUGCAUUGUCGUUACUCUCCUCCUAUGAUAUGGAUAUUUAUUAUACUUUGUCGUUACUCUAUCCAUAUAAUAUGAAUAUUUAUUAAACCAUGUCGUUAUUCUGACUGUAUAAUAUGAAUAUUUAUUAUACUCUAUUGUUAAGAUGUCUAUAUAAUAUGUAUAUUUAUUAUACUUUGUCGUUACGCUGCCUAUUAAAUUUUUACAAGAUAAUUAAAUGAUAUAAUUAUAAAACAUUAUCAUAAUUAUACAACACAAAAAUUGUCUUACUUGAACUUAGAAAGCUAUGGCUAUAAUUUUUUUAGUGUAAUUCACUCAAUGGGUUAUAUGAGAGACAAUCAUGAUCUAAGUUUAAUACUAAGACUCCGAAUUAUAAUCGUUAAAUCUUAAGUGAGCGAAAUAGUUAUGUAUAGAUCUAUAUGGGCUGACACCCCCACAUAUGGUUGUUAUCUACAACCAUAACGGUCAAGUCAUAAGUGAUAAUUGUCUAAACAAUACGACGUCCAAUGAAGCGUCAUGAGAGGCAAUAAAUCGUCAACAACUCGAUUACAUGAACUCAUGGUAACAUUGAUAAACGCGCCUAAAAGCAAAUGCAUAUAUAAGUUGAAACAAUACUUAUAUACAGUAAAACGCUACUUUUGGAUAAAAGUACACAUAUUUAUAUAAGUUAGAAUUACUUAUAUACAAUAAAACUCUACUUUGGACAAAAGUACACAUAUUUAUAUAAGUUAAUAAUACUUAUAUGCGAUAAAACAAUUACUUUUAGUAUGAAAAAUACACUUGUAACGACAUAUUUUUUAUUGAGAAAAUACAUUUUUAACGAACAUACUUUCAGUUGAGAACGUAUGUUUCUAGUAAACAUACUUUUGAUAUAAAAAGUACAUACAUAUAAGUUUGGAAAUACUUUUAUACGAUGAAAACAUAUACUUUUGCUAAAAAGUACAUACCAUUUAAACUUUAAGAAGAUGUCAACUCACUAACUUUAUGUUGACGCUUUUAAAAUCACAUGUAUUCUUGGGGAACUAAAAGUCAGACACAUAUCAUCUUUUGGAACAAUCAUGGACUCGUAGGCGUAUUGUUUUAUCAUUUUUGUUUAUUCAAACUGCCUAAUUGUUAAGGUAGCGUUUGUACCUUAAUUAUUAGCAUCUCAAAAGUUAAUAUGAUAUGUAAUAUUUUAUUUUGUAAUAGUAGUGAUAUUUAUGUUAUAAUUUUUUGUAUUGUUCAAUGUAAUCAAUAUCUGUAAUCCAUGAUGACGUUGCACAACCUCAUGUUUCUACCGGCUGACGGGGGUGUGACAUAUUACACCAAAAAUCACUUUAUAAAAGCAUGUAAAUAAAAUAUGCCUUUUUAAACCACCUACAUCACUAGCAUGCCUUCCCAAAUUCUAAGAUAAACAUGUUAUUCUAGAAUUAUCGCAUGCAUAUGCUUCACACUUUAAUCAUCGAAUAUAAUUCUCACCUCUGGCAUGAACCUAACCACCAAUUUCAUGCAAACAAAUCAUAUCAUGGUGUCUAGCAUAUAAAUUCACCUAGUUAAAUUGAUCAUAGAGAAACAAUAAAAUCUAAUAGCCCAGACUUCCUGUAUAAUCAUAAUAUAACAUCACAUACAAAGUCCUGUACCAAUAGACUUGUACUAACACAUGUAAGCCUCCAUAAUUUGUACUAGAUAACCAUAAGAAUGACCCGCCUCUAAUCCCGAAUGAAAUGAACUAGGAAUGGAGGAAAUCAACCCUUCAGCAAACAAUCAAACAACCUACAACAUAUUAUCACAAUCCGGAUUAGAAAUGACACCAAAACAAACAACAAAACUGCAAUUUUCAAGUCAUCAGGCGCGCUGCACUAAGGGUAGGGCGCUUUGUGUGGAAUGACCGCAGAAGAAUCAGAAGGAAAAGAUAAGUGCUAAGGCG
rnacentral:lncRNA from 1 species